rnacentral:rRNA from 1 species
UUCGUAGGCGGUGCGGCAAGUUGGGAGUGAAAUCUCUGGGCUUAACCCAGAGGCUGCUUUCAAAACUGCCGUGCUCGAGUGCGAGAGAGGCCAGUGGAAUUGCAGGUGUAGCGGUGAAAUGCGUAGAUAUCUGCAGGAACACCCGUGGCGAAGGCGGCUGGCUGGAUCGCAACUGACGCUGAGGAACGAAAGCUAGGGGAGCAAACAGGAUUAGAUACCCUGGUAGUCCUAGCCCUAAACCGUCAGAACUUGGGGUGGCUCGCGUAGGCGGGUCGUCCCGUAGCUAACGCGUUAAGUUCUGCGCCUGGGGAGUACGGUCGCAAGACUGAA